UACGAAGGGGGCUAGCGUUGCUCGGAAUCACUGGGCGUAAAGCGCACGUAGGCGGCUCUUUAAGUCAGAGGUGAAAUCCUGGGGCUCAACCCCAGAACUGCCUUUGAUACUGAGGAGCUUGAGUCCGGGAGAGGUGAGUGGAACUGCGAGUGUAGAGGUGAAAUUCGUAGAUAUUCGCAGGAACACCAGUGGCGAAGGCGGCUCACUGGCCCGGUACUGACGCUGAGGUGCGAAAGCGUGGGGAGCGAACGGG
rnacentral:rRNA from 1 species